rnacentral:rRNA from 1 species
GCCAGCAGCCACAUCACCCUGCAGCUCACAACUGGCAACCUACUAAAGCUAAGCAGGUGUGAGCCUGGUCAGUACCUAAAUGGGAGACCUCCUGGGAAAGCUGAGGUUGCUGAAGGAA